UACGUAGGGGGGCAAGCGUUAUCCGGAAUCAUUGGGCGUAAAGCGCGUGUAGGCGGUUCCGUAAGUCCGCUCUGAAAGCCCAAGGCUCAACCUUGGGAGGCGGGUGGAUACUACGGAACUGGAGUAUGGAAGAGGAGAUUGGAAUUCCUGGUGUAGCGGUGAAAUGCGCAGAUAUCAGGAGGAACACCGGUGGCGAAGGCGGGUCUCUGGGCAACAACUGACGCUGGAGGAGCGAAAGCGUGGGGAGCGAACAGG
rnacentral:rRNA from 1 species